rnacentral:misc_RNA from 1 species
UUUAUGGGACUGAUUUGUAAAGAAGGAUUGUCAGUCAUAGUACCCAUCUUAGUUUCUGAAAUAUUUCUUUUUUCCCUCAGCCAUUAAAAAAAAUGAAUGCAACAGUACAAGUUCAAACAAAUAGGUUUAGGUAUCAAGGAGCAAAUUAGGCAAGAGGAAUAGGUUGGGCAGAGGCACGACGGUCAGGGGAGAACACCGGAAGAAGAUUCGGACGGAAAAAGUCAUCGAAAGAGGGCUCACGCACUGAUGCAUGGAAAACUAGCGAGAUCUUGUGUCAGUGCAUGAGUCCACGCACUUUGCCGGACGGUGAUGAGUCUUUGGUGACAGACUGAUCGGAGAUUGGGCUUCCUUCUAGGGUAGGCGGUGACAACUCAAUCACCUUCUACUGGUCGCUAGAAGCUUACCCACUUAAAAACCCUAG